CUGGAGGAUUGAGGAAACACCAUACAAUCAAGCAGUAUCAGACACCAGGAGGAUCCUAUGAUUGCACUGUUGUGUUGAAUCUCUGCUAUUCUAACAUUGGAGGGGAAAGCUGUCUUGUUUGUUUAAGAAAUUGUCUCGUUCAUUGUCUUCUUUGCCCAUCUGCUUUCCAAGGGCAAAUUUUCCUCUGCACAUUCAGCCCUGCCACAGCAGACAACAAUGCCCUUUGCACUUACCCCAAGAGACAGAUGAAAAAAGUGCAAUCAGUUCUGGGGAGGCAUCAGAAAGGUAUUUUCUCAGUGUCAGAAAGUACUGUCUCCAAACAAGCUGAUGGAGAGGAGGGCUGUGUAAUAGCUGUGGCCAGAAAACCAUGAGGAAGAUGCCAAGAAGGGGCUAAGGGAACCUCUGCGACAGUGUAUCCCACCUGCAGGUAGAACGAUUCCCCACCCCCCCACCCCAAAGACGUUGUCAGCAGUGAGUUGGGAGGAGGUAAGGCGCCUUCUCCAUGCUUAUUUCAGUCUUCAGCAGAAGCAAAGUUACAUGGUCAUUUGCAGCUGGGACCACCGCCAAUGACAGAGAUGGCCCACAAAAAAUUGCACGUUGCAUCACUUUGAAAGUGCCCUGGAGACGAUGCACCAACUACUGAUAGUAUUAGAGAACUGGAUUGGAAAUGGCUCUGUCUACUGGCAACAUAAGAAUUGCCAACCAGAACAGAUCACUGGUCCAUCCAGUAUCCUGUCUCCAACUGUGGAUUUCACAAGAGCUUUAGAGAAAGGUGAAAAAUCCGCCCCCCAAAAUGCACCUGGCUAAUUGUACAUCUGGGGAAAAUGUAUUUCUGCUCCCAGCUGUUGAUGAGCUUAUCUCAGAGGGUUGAGUGUGUUCAAAUUUUUAUCCUAGAUGGUGUAAUCACAGUUUCAUAAUGAAGGGAUAUAGAGGACAUUUUUUUUCAAUUUGCAGAUUAGAGAAAGGUCAACUCCAGAUUAAUCUUCCACUGCUACAGGUCAUGAAGCAGAGUGGCUUGUAAACACUGUGAAAUGAAUAAAGUCUUUAGUGUACUGCGCACCGAGUUCUACACCUCCUAACCAAAGAAAACAAAGGGGAAACCGAAGCCUUCCUGAGUAGUUACCAAAUAUUUUCUAACGUGGAGAGGGAAUU